GAUGAACGCUGGCGGCGUGCCUAAUACAUGCAAGUCGAGCGAAUGGAUUAAGAGCUUGCUCUUAUGAAGUUAGCGGCGGACGGGUGAGUAACACGUGGGUAACCUGCCCAUAAGACUGGGAUAACUCCGGGAAACCGGGGCUAAUACCGGAAAACAUUUUGAACCGCAUGGUUCGAGAUCGAAAGGCGGCUUCGGCUGUCACUUAUGGAUGGACCCGCGUCGCAUUAGCUAGUUGGUGAGGUAACGGCUCACCAAGGCAACGAUGCGUAGCCGACCUGAGAGGGUGAUCGGCCACACUGGGACUGAGACACGGCCCAGACUCCUACGGGAGGCAGCAGUAGGGAAUCUUCCGCAAUGGACGAAAGUCUGACGGAGCAACGCCGCGUGAGUGAUGAAGGCUUUCGGGUCGUAAAACUCUGUUGUUAGGGAAGAACAAGUGCUAGUUGAAUAAGCUGGCACCUUGACGGUACCUAACCAGAAAGCCACGGCUAACUACGUGCCAGCCGCCGCCGUAA
rnacentral:rRNA from 1 species